rnacentral:rRNA from 1 species
UAGGGAAUCUUCCGCAAUGGACGCAAGUCUGACGGAGCAACGCCGCGUGAGUGAAGAAGGAUUUCGGUUCGUAAAACUCUGUUGUUAGAGAAGAACAGCGCAUAGAGUAACUGUUAUGCGUGUGACGGUAUCUAACCAGAAAGCCACGGCUAACUACGUGCCAGCAGCCGCGGUAAUACGUAGGUGGCAAGCGUUGUCCGGAUUUAUUGGGCGUAAAGCGAGCGCAGGCGGUCAAUUAAGUCUGAUGUGAAAGCCCCCGGCUCAACCGGGGAGGGUCAUUGGAAACUGGUUGACUUGAGUGCAGAAGAGGAGAGUGGAAUUCCAUGUGUAGCGGUGAAAUGCGUAGAUAUAUGGAGGAACACCAGUGGCGAAGGGGACUCUCUGGUCUGUAACUGACGCUGAGGCUCGAAAGCGUGGGUAGCAAACAGG